rnacentral:lncRNA from 1 species
GGAAAUUACAAUAUCAAAAUCUUAAUUCUAAUAGAAUACUAAUAAUGCUCUAAUUAGAUCAUAAUAAUGCUAAGCAAGAUUAAUCAAAUUAAAAAAAAAAAACUCAAAGAAAUUUGAAACAAACAAUAAGAAUUCUUAAAGAAAUAUUAGAAGGAUCACAAAUAUCACUCAAAUACAUCUCAAUUCAAUCUUAAUUUAAUUCUAGUUAAAAUCCUAUUGAACUUCAUUCAAAAUUUAGGCCAAAACUAAUUGAAUCUUAAAUCCUAAUAAAAUCCUAAACCCUAAACAAACCUUAAACCAAACCCUAAUCCAAACCCUAAAUCCUAAACCAAAUCC